UACAGAGGGUGCAAGCGUUGUUCGGAAUUAUUGGGCGUAAAGCGCGUGUAGGCGGUCCUGCAAGUCGGAUGUGAAAGCCCUCGGCUUAACCGAGGAAGUGCGUUCGAUACUACAGAACUUGAGUACCGGAGAGGGUGGCGGAAUUCCCGGUGUAGAGGUGAAAUUCGUAGAUAUCGGGAGGAACACCAGUGGCGAAGGCGGCCACCUGGACGGCUACUGACGCUGAGACGCGAAAGCGUGGGGAG
rnacentral:rRNA from 1 species